UCUGUUUGGGAGUGUCUGUUUCUGGCAGCCAAACUCAGUUCUAGCUGACACAAACAGCAUCUCUCCCUACUCUAGUUUCAGUGAAGAUUUCAUGGACUAGGGAAGGGCAAAGAGGGGCGAAAGAGAGCAUUGAAGUAAAUUACAACUGGGUGCUUUUGAGAAAGGACCUUGAACUCUGUCCCUACAGCUGGCUGAAUCCCAGGAGGAACCUCUAGAAACCCCAAGGUAAACAUGGGGAUGCAGGUAAACAUGAGGGAAGCUCUUGCUGGGUUUCUUUGUACCCCAGUGAAUCAGAGAUUAUUUUGUCAAUGCUAUAUGUUUAACUUACAGGAAUGCUCAAAGUUAAACAUAACAGGAGAUAAAAUGAGGAUCAUUAGUCUUGUAAAUUUUUCCUCAAGUUCAAGGUGAAAACACAUCCUGUGACAUUUGUGGAGGACAGUUUUCAUUGUAGCUUAAGUACUUUGCAUUUCUCCAAGUGAAUUGGUUGACACCUGCUAAAUAUGAAAAGUUUAUCUGUAAGCACUGGGUCCUAUGAAACACUAAAUCCCAAGGAAAAAAGUGGGAAUGCCAUCAAUUUUCUCCCUUUACAGAUUAAGAAAAUAGAUAAUUUCAAGGGGCAGUUUGCUAGGGUACCACAUGGGAAAUUUAAGGUGAAGUCAAUUAGUAGUGCCACAUGCUGUAUAUCUCAUUCUGAACGUGUCCCUGUAAGAGUUAAAUCUAUCUGGAGCCACAUACUGAAAACCCGAUCACAACAGCUGCUCUCUGAGCCCCUUCUGCAGAAAAGAAAGAAAAUAAGUUUUAAUUAAAUUGUAUUAAUUGGUUUAGCUGAUCUGGAAAUAGAGUAAGGGUUCUACUCUAAUUUUGUUUUUUUGGCUGAAGUCCACUUGUCUUUGACAUGAGAAUAAAGGAAUGAAGCAAUAAAAUGCCUAGAAAUGCCCUGGUAGAGACUUUUAAACUGUCCAAGGUUAAAAAGCGCUGCUAUCUCUGAGAUGAACUUAAAAUUCUGCUGCCAACUCUGAGAAGUCAGAAGUGCAAGCAAGAAAAGAAGAAUGUGAUUAAAAACCCUGCUUCCUUAAAGCUCUGCAAAGCUGCAAAGAAAAGCCAGGCAUUCUUCCCAUAAUAGUGAGCACUUGUUAGAGAGAAAAGGAGAAGGUUGUGAAAGCAUCAGGGUAUAAUGACCUUAUUUCAGGCCACUCAGCGUAAGUUUUCGUAUAUAAGGUAACUGAAAUUUCUAAGUGUAGCUUAACAGUUUGAUGUUACGAUGUGCAAAAUACAUUUUGUUUUACUUAAAAACAUAUUUGAUUCCACCUUCCAUGCCUGUAUUGCAGCAUUUUUAACCAGUUAUUAAAAAUAGAAAUUAUUUUAAAAGACAUAAUGCUAAUACAACACACUUGUAUUUUUUUGCUUCCAUGUAUAAGGUAAAGUUUAAAUAUAGUCACGAUCACCUGAAACCAUUCAUUAAAUGGCAAAAUUCUGUGACACAGAGAGGAUACUCUAUAAAGAAUGGCUUAAAUUUUGUUCUCUAGAAAACAUGCAGUUAAAAUUUCUUGUGAAAAGAAAUGCAUAUGGGAUAACAAGCUUGCUAUAGGCUGAAUGUAUAUGUCUCCCCAAAAUACAAGUGUUAAAGUCCUGAAAUCCCCAAUGUGAUGUUAUUUGGAGACGGGGCCUUUGGGAGGUAAUUAGGGUUCUAUUAAGUCAUGAGGUCAGGACCACCGCAAUGGGUUUAGCACUUUAUAAAAAGAGACACUAGAAAUCUUGCUCUCUCUUUCUCUCCAUCAUGUGAGGACAUGGUGAGAAGACAGCCAUCUGCAAGCCAGAAAGAGCGCUAACCAGAACGCAACCAUGUGGAUACCCCGAUCUCAUAGUCCCAGCCUCCAAAACUGUACGUUCAGCAAUGCUUCAGGCAUUGUGGCCAAAUGAUGAUAUGAAUGAGACUGGAUUCUCCAGUAGGAAAUGGACUUGGCCUCAAGGUGGGCCUCUCCCAGAUGGCAACUUGUUUAUCAAAGCAUGAAAACCAAGAAGGUGAUAAAGAAAGUCUGCUAGCAAGACAUAAGUCACAAUCUUUUGUAAUCUAUUUAUGAAAGUGACAUCCCAUCAUCUUGACCACAAUCUAUUGAUUAGAAACAAGUACAGCUCACCCUCAACAAGAGGAGAUAAUAUCCAGGUGUGAAUUGCACAAGACUAAUCCAGUGGAAAAACUAUAUUCGACCCAAGGAUCUGUAUCCACACAGUUUGACAAUAAUUUACUUCUUUCUGGAAGCGAUGAGCACAGUGUAAUUCCUGAGAAAUUUUAAUAAUGAUAUUUUAAUUAUAAUUAAGUGAAACCUAGCAAAGUUGGCUGUAUCUGGAGGAACUCCACUGUGGGAAACAGAUUCUUAAGAUGGCUGAAGAUGGCUGUUUCGCUGCAUCAAUGUGUGACUUUCAAUAGAUGAUCGAAGAUGGCUGUUUGGCACUGUGUCUGAAUUAAGCCAGAAGGAAGGAGGAAGAAGAUGAAGAAAAGGCAUGCCUCUACCCCUUAGGACCACGUCUCUGAAGCUGUAUACAACAUUUCUGCUCUCAUAUAAUUGGGCAGAACUUAGUCAUAGAGCUACAUGUAGUUGCAAGGGAAGCUAUAUGCACUAAUGUGCUUAGUUAAACAUUGGGAUUCUCUUACUAAGGUACAUAAGGAGAACAUAUAUUUGGAGAGGCAACUAUCCAUCUCUGCCACAAGAUCUGAAACAAUUAUUGUGAGACUAUAAACAUAGAAAAAAGCUCCAGAGAUCAGGGGGAAGUCAGAAAUUAUUUGGGAUUCCAGUGAAUGGAAUGUUGACCAUAAAUGAGAAAUGAUGCUUGGGAUAAUUCCUAGCGAGCAUUGGCUUUUAGAGUUGGGAUUGAAGUCAACCAGCUAUAAAGAGCAAGACUGGGUGGGGUACUUUGAAAUGUCAUAUCAUUGUGUAUGGCUUUUGUGGUAGUUACUGCUUCUUUUUAGAAUAAUUCUCAUAACUAGGUAGAAAGCUCACCUUUGAAACUUCUGCAUGCCUAAUAAAAUGCUUCACUCACACCCAGUUGUUUUACUCAAGCGAGUAGUUUUAUGGUAACUGCAUUUGGGGUAACAGUCUUACAGAAGAGUUAACACAAUGGGCAGAUUCCAGGUGUGCUGUCAUUUGGAGGAGGCAAAUCCAUACAGACAAGAAGUAGAUUAGUGGUUGCCUAGAGCUGGAGGAGGGUAGGGAUAAGGAAUGGAUUACUACUGGGACUGGGUUUCUUUUUGGGGUGAUGAAAAUUUUCUAAAAUUGAUUGUGGUGAUGGUUGCCUAACUCUGUGAAUAGCAAUGAAUUGUGCUAUUGUACACUUUAGGUAAAUGGUAUGGUAUAUGAGUUAUAUCCCCAAUAA
ensembl:lncRNA novel transcript